rnacentral:rRNA from 1 species
GUGAGGAAUAUUGGUCAAUGGGCGGGAGCCUGAACCAGCCAAGUCGCGUGAAGGAAGAAGGAUCUAUGGUUCGUAAACUUCUUUUGCAGGGGAAUAAAGUGCAGGACGUGUCCUGUUUUGUAUGUACCCUGAGAAUAAGGAUCGGCUAACUCCGUGCCAGCAGCCGCGGUAAUACGGAGGAUCCGAGCGUUAUCCGGAUUUAUUGGGUUUAAAGGGUGCGUAGGUGGUUUGAUAAGUCAGCGGUGAAAGUUUGCAGCUUAACUGUAAAAAUGCCGUUGAAACUGUAGGACUUGAGUGUAAAUGAGGUAGGCGGAAUGCGUGGUGUAGCGGUGAAAUGCAUAGAUAUCACGCAGAACUCCGAUUGCGAAGGCAGCUUACUAAGCUACAACUGACACUGAAGCACGAAAGCGUGGGGAUCAAACAGGAUUAGAUACCCCUGUAGUCC